GAAAGAGAAGGGGGGUCGCGACGGGGAGGACGGGCCGGCCGAGCAUGGGCUGCUGGGCACUGGGUACUGACAUUGACAUCGCGUGGAACUGGCGACCCACCAUGACGUGGGAGCGGGGAGAGUGAGAGAGUGGGGAGUGGAACAGGGAUGGUAACCAUAAUAAAAAAAAUGUCAAUUUAAAUGAAGAAACAAAACAAGAAGCAGACACAAAAACGGCUACUAUACUAAUGAGGCAAGGGGUCAUAGUAAAAAUCAUGUCAACACAAAGCUUAGAUUGAUACCGUUACAUAAAAAAUGUCCAAGCUUUUAAAGAUGAGCUAACAAGAAAACACUGUUCUCGACAGCUAAUUAGACUCUUGCCUCUUUCAUGAUUUGAAUGAGCAAUGUGGUAAAA